GUGCGAAACUGGUUUGUUUGGAAAAAAUGGCUGCCGCCAUGAUGGUGCCUUUUUCACAUCGUCUGCAAGUUUAUGUGACGACCUGUUAAAAGUUUAACAGUGACACGCGCCAGUUCAUGUGUCAACGAGCGCAAAUUGUGAACGAUGGCUUGGAAAAAAUUCAGUUCAGAGUUCAAAGCGCCACCUUGCAACAAACAGCGCCAUGGAAACAGCUGUGGAGUGUUUGCAUUGAUGACUGCCAAAUGUUUGGUCAUGAAAAAGCAUCCCACAAUGUUGCGACAGGCCCAUGAUUCAGUUUAUCGAGACUAGUCGUGAGACGCAGACUUCUGAUUCAUGGAGUGCGGCAAACAUAUCUGUGCGACUCGAUCACUCCACUGUAAAGACCCGCACGGCAUUAAAAUGGAUAUUAUCAA